GAUGAACGCUAGCGGCAGGCCUAAUGCAUGCAAGUCGAACGGGAUUAAGGAGCUUGCCUCUUAUGAGAGUGGCGCACGGGUGCGUAACACGUAUGCAACCUACCUUCAACUGGGGGAUAGCCUUCCGAAUGGGAGAUUAAUACCGCAUAACAUAAUUGAGUGGCAUCACUUGAUUAUCAAACGUCAGGGUUGAAGAUGGGCAUGCGUCCGAUUAGUUAGUUGGUGAGGUAACGGCUCACCAAGGCUACGAUCGGUAGGGGAUCUGAGAGGAUGGCCCCCCACACUGGUACUGAGACACGGACCAGACUCCUACGGGAGGCAGCAGUAAGGAAUAUUGGUCAAUGGACGGAAGUCUGAACCAGCCAUGCCGCGUGCAGGAAGACGGUCCUCUGGAUUGUAAACUGCUUUUGUUAGGGAAGAAACUUCCGUACGUGUACGGGACUGACGGUACCUAAAGAAUAAGGAUCGGCUAACUCCGUGCCAGCCGCCGCCGUAACAC
rnacentral:rRNA from 1 species